GUCCACGCCGUAAACGAUGGAUACUAGCUGUUCGGAGCAAUCUGAGUGGCUAAGCGAAAGUGAUAAGUAUCCCACCUGGGGAGUACGAACGCAAGUUUGAAACUCAAAGGAAUUGACGGGGGCCCGCACAAGCGGAGGAGCAUGUGGUUUAAUUCGAUGAUACGCGAGGAACCUUACCAAGGCUUAAAUGGGAAACGACAGGUUUGGAAACAGAUCUUUCUUCGGACGUUUUUCAAGGUGCUGCAUGGUUGUCGU
rnacentral:rRNA from 1 species